AUUGAACGCUGGCGGAAUGCUUUACACAUGCAAGUCGAACGGCAGCACGGACUUCGGUCUGGUGGCGAGUGGCGAACGGGUGAGUAAUGUAUCGGAACGUGCCCAGUCGUGGGGGAUAACGUAGUGAAAAUUACGCUAAUACCGCAUACGAUCUAAGGAUGAAAGCGGGGGAUCGCAAGACCUCGCGCGAUUGGAGCGGCCGAUAUCAGAUUAGGUAGUUGGUGGGGUAAAGGCCCACCAAGCCAACGAUCUGUAGCUGGUCUGAGAGGACGACCAGCCAAACUGGAACUGAGACGCGGUCCAGACUCCUACGGGAGGCAGCAGUGGGGAAUUUUGGACAAUGGGCGAAAGCCUGAUCCAGCCAUUCCGCGUGCAGGAUGAAGGCCCUCGGGUUGUAAACUGCUUUUGUACAGAACGAAAAGGUUUCUACUAAUACUAGGAGCUCAUGACGGUACUGUAAGAAUAAGCACCGGCUAACUACGUGCCAGCCGCCGCCGUAA
rnacentral:rRNA from 1 species